GUGCUCACUCGGCAGCACGUAUACGAAAAUUGGAAAUAUACAGGGAAGGUUAGCAUGGCUCCUACAUGCAAAGGAUGACACACGAAUUUGUAAAAUGUUCCAUAUUUUU
rnacentral:snRNA from 1 species